rnacentral:other from 1 species
GCCGGCCUGCAAGCUUGGUGAUGGCGGUCACCGAUUUUUGAACCAAUGCUUGAAUGAACGGGGCCUGACUCGAACUUGGAUCCGGUGUGCCAUGCUCCGCCAUGCGGAGAGGCCUAAAGGGUCUCGGAGGGUCCCAACGUCUACCGACGGUUCAUUCUCGGCCCGUCACACGGACUGGUGGGUCGGCU